UGGGGAAUAUUGGACAAUGGGCGAAAGCCUGAUCCAGCCAUGCCGCGUGUGUGAAGAAGGUCUUCGGAUUGUAAAGCACUUUAAGUUGGGAGGAAGGGCAGUAAGCGAAUACCUUGCUGUUUUGACGUUACCGACAGAAUAAGCACCGGCUAACUCUGUGCCAGCAGCCGCGGUAAUACAGAGGGUGCAAGCGUUAAUCGGAAUUACUGGGCGUAAAGCGCGCGUAGGUGGUUCGUUAAGUUGAAUGUGAAAGCCCCGGGCUCAACCUGGGAACUGCAUCCAAAACAGGAGAGCUAGAGUAGGGCAGAGGGUGGUGGAAUUUCCUGUGUAGCGGUGAAAUGCGUAGAUAUAGGAAGGAACACCAGUGGCGAAGGCGACCACCUGGGCUCAUACUGACACUGAGGUGCGAAAGCGUGGGGAGCAAACAGG
rnacentral:rRNA from 1 species